GUGAGGAAUUUUCCGCAAUGGGCGAAAGCCUGACGGAGCAAUGCCGCGUGAAGGAUGAAGGCCUAUGGGUUGUAAACUUCUUUUCUCAGAAAAGAAUUAUGACGGUAUCUGAGGAAUAAGCAUCGGCUAACUCUGUGCCAGCAGCCGCGGUAAGACAGAGGAUGCAAGCGUUAUCCGGAAUGAUUGGGCGUAAAGCGUCUGUAGGUUGUUUAAAAAGUAUUCUGUCAAAGAUUAGGGCUUAACCCUAGAUAGGCAGAAUAAACUUUUAAGCUAGAGGUUGGUAGAGGAAGAGGGAAUUCCCGGUGGAGCGGUGAAAUGCGUAGAUAUCGGGAGGAACACCAAAGGCGAAGGCACUCUGCUGGGCCAAUACUAACACUGAGAGACGAAAGCGAGGGGAGCAAAUGGGAUUAGAAACCCCGGUAGUCC
rnacentral:rRNA from 1 species